UACGGGGGGAGCAAGCGUUGUUCGGAUUUACUGGGCGUAAAGGGCGCGUAGGCGGCCACUGCAAGUCAGUUGUGAAAUCCCCGGGCUCAACCUGGGAAUUGCGUUGGAGACUGCAAGGCUGGAGUCUGGCAGAGGGGGGUAGAAUUCCACGUGUAGCAGUGAAAUGCGUAGAGAUGUGGAGGAACACCGAUGGCGAAGGCAGCCCCCUGGGUCAAGACUGACGCUCAUGCACGAAAGCGUGGGGAGCAAACAGG
rnacentral:rRNA from 1 species